CGNCGAAAGGGAUAGUAAUGUGUGGAUACCCUGCCUCUGGGACGGGGAUAGCUGCUGGAAACGGCAAUUAAUACCCGAUGACGUCUCCGGACCAAAGGUGUGAUUCCGCCCGGAGAGGGGUCCACAUCCUAUUAGCUUGUUGGUGAGGUAACGGCUCACCAAGGCCACGAUGGGUAGCGGGUGUGAGAGCACGACCCGCAUCACUGGGACUGAGACACUGCCCAGACACCUACGGGUGGCUGCAGUCGAGGAUCUUCGGCAAUGGGCGAAAGCCUGACCGAGCGACGCCGCGUGCGGGAUGAAGGCCUUCGGGUUGUAAACCGCUUUCGGAGGGGAGGAAAUCGAGGAGGGUUCGCCCUU
rnacentral:rRNA from 1 species